UNGGAAUUACUGGGCGUAAAGCGGGCGCAGACGGUUACUUAAGCAGGAUGUGAANUCCCCGGGCUCAACCUGGGAACUGCGUUCUGAACUGGGUGACUAGAGUGUGUCAGAGGGAGGUAGAAUUNCACGUGUAGCAGUGAAAUGCGUAGAGAUGUGGAGGAAUACCGAUGGCGAAGGCAGCCUCCUGGGAUAACACUGACGUUCAUGCCCGAAAGCGUGGGUAGCAAACAGGAUUAGAUACCCUGGUAGUCCACGCCCUAAACGAUGUCGAUUAGCUGUUGGGCAGCAUGACUGCUUAGUAGCGAAGCUAACGCGUGAAAUCGACCGCCUGGGGAGUACGGUCGCAAGAUUAAAACUCAAAGGAAUUGACGGGGACCCGCACAAGCGGUGGAUGAUGUGGAUUAAUUCGAUGCAACGCGAAGAACCUUACCUGGUCUUGACAUGUACGGAACCCUCCAGAGACGGAGGGGUGCCUUCGGGAGCCGUAACACAGGUGCUGCAUGGCUGUCGUCAGCUCGUGUCGUGAGAUGUUGGGUUAAGUCCCGCAACGAGCGCAACCCUUGUCAUUAGUUGCCAUCAUUAAGUUGGGCACUCUAAUGAGACUGCCGGUGACAAGCCGGAGGAAGGUGGGGAUGACGUCAAGUCCUCAUGGCCCUUAUGACCAGGGCUUCACACGUCAUACAAUGGUCGGUACAGAGGGUAGCCAAGCCGCGAGGUGGAGCCAAUCUCACAAAACCGAUCGUAGUCCGGAUUGCACUCUGCAACUCGAGUGCAUGAAGUCGGAAUCGCUAGUAAUCGCAGGUCAGCAUACUGCGGUGAAUACGUUCCCGGGUCUUGUACACACCGCCCGUCACACCAUGGGAGUGGGGGAUACCAGAAGUAG
rnacentral:rRNA from 1 species